rnacentral:snRNA from 1 species
GUGCUCACUUCAAUAGCAUAUAUACUAAAAUUGGAAUGAUACAGAGAAGAUUAGCAUGGCCCCGGUGCAAGGAUGACAGGCAAAUUCGUGAAACAUUCCACAAAUUU